AAUAGUUCAUAGUUUCAUAGUUUCAGUGCAAGUAGAGCAUUCCAUUGUUUAGCUGCUUCACUGACCUCCUGCACGCUGCGAUAUUCGAGCAUUUCAAGGACUUCACAAAGGAGCUUCGCUAUCCUUUGACUGAUGACAUUGCUGGGCCUUCAAUGGAUGCCAAUGGGUCAAACGAGCUGUGGGACAGGCCAGUGCCACUCAAUCUUCUGCGGUCAAUCGCGGGUCAAAGAGGAGGCGGUGGGCGUGGCCAUUGGCUAAUUGGCGGCCGUAGUUCAUUAGUGCGCGAGUCACACGUUGAUUAGGCGGUUUGGAUUCGGAUGCGGUUGCAGUUUGGUGUCGCAACCAUAACAACAAUAACAAUCCGCUGAAAUUGAUGGACUGGAAACAGGAUGCAAAUGGACGCCACAAAGGUGUCCUUUGACCCGUUGCAAUGCCUUUCAUUAGGGCAGAAUUUGAUGAUGAUGGCAGAAGAGCCAUGUUUGUUUUACGUUAAGGGUUAGCUCAAAGGAGUUAUAAAUAUUUCUUGAUAAAAUAAUAAUAUUAAAUAAUUUCAA